AAACCAAGUCAGGUCAUUCGGGGCAGGCCUUUGUUCUGGCCCUUGGGCUCCCUUUGCCUUCGCCCCCCAGCCCCACGAGUGCACAGCCUCCUCUGCCACCAGCUUCUGCUGUGACGGACUGUGACGCCACAGACCCGAAGCAACCGGGCCAAGAAAACAGGCAAUGAAACCUCUGAAACUACAAACCCAAAUAAGCCUUAUUUUCCUUUUUACCACCCCAGUGGAAGAGACCUAUAGAAAAGUAGAAAGGAACUGUGCUGUGUGGUUUAAUUAAUGCUGAGGUACAGGAGAACAGAAGGUCCAUGGAACACAGAAGAGAAACAUCUAAAGAUUGCUGGACAGCCUUCAACCGAGCUGCUGUCAGAAUGGCUCUCUAGAGUGGUUCCGGAGUGUUCUGAAUCCUGUUCUUCUCAUGCCAGCAGGAAGCCCGGCAUAAAGGAAGGCAGGUUAUCUCCUGAGGAUGUGGACAAACUCUAUUUACAACAGCGGACAGUGCCCGGAUGUUGACAGCGUGGCCCCUAACCCGUGACACCACUGAGAAGCACUAGAGCUGUUAAGUGGGGGGAGGUUUUAGGUCACUCGAAGCCUCUGCCUCAAACAUGGUUGAGGACCCCUGCUGUCUCUUGCUGACGCUCUUUUCACCUCCUGGUCACUGUGAGGUGAGCUGCAUGUACUGCCGACAAGAGGGAGCCAGCUGGUGAGUGAUCCAGACCGGAGAAACAAAUGCGUCGCACUAGCAGCUUGUGGAGGAUUUUUCAGCGCAGGAUUGUAACUACCUUUCUGGCAACUGAACUGAAGGUGAGGGAAUUGAACCCAGGGGAAACAAGUGAACUGCUUAGUCGUGCAGCAAGUGGGGAAUGGAACUGUGAUUGGACGGGUGAUAUGGGUCCAGGCUGAUGAGCAACCGCAUUCUGUGGUGGAAAGUGCUCCUUCUCAGGAGGUUCUCAAGCCUGCAGUCUGGGCUGAGAGUCACAGCAUCAGCUUCUGGGACUGAGCCAUGCUACCCAAUCCUCUCCUUCUCUCCGGUCUCCAGGCGGCGCUUCGUCGGACUUCUCACCUCCAUUGGCUCAGGAGCCAGCCCCUCAGUGAAUCUCCAGUCACGUACAUACCACGUGUUCUAGAGAACUCCGAUGAGUACAGAAACUUGCACAUUUACAAGAGUGAGUUGUUUUCAAAUAUUUCGGUAGAUUUUUUAAACUACUUCUGGAUUCCCCUCAACACUCAUUUGUAAAAGAUAGUUAACCAUUUGUUUCACAACACUAUUCCUCAGUCAGUAAUACAAAUACCGCAGCAUUCACUCCGAGUAAAUGCUAGGAUCUAUCAGAGGAGCACCUAAGUUAUCCACGUACAAAUCACGCUUUGUUGACUUUCAUGACGCUUGAACAUUCAAGCCUUAAUAGCACACUUAGUAUUUAAGUUAUAACAAGUUGAGGGCUGUUUCCUUAUACUGGUGGUGAAGACCAUCAUUACUCCUGAGAUUAAGAGACCAUACAUAUUAGUUGAUUUAUUGACAGCUCUGCAGUGACUACUUACAAGUGCUAUAAUUUUACAAAUGCCAUAUCUCAACUUUGACAAAUACAAUGAACUCAUGGGCGUGAUUAAAA